UUCAACCUGUUCAGCUGGUCUUGUAGCAUGACUUUGAUUUUGAGGAGAGUCUCCUCUUCCUUCUUCAACUCCUGCAGACGGCUGUGCAUCUUUACUGCUGCAGUCAGACCAUUCCUCACCACUGAAAAACAUCAGUAGUCAGGGGUGCAGUGUCAUUGAUUGCAAAGAAGACGGGGUAACAACGUUUCCAACCCGUCAAAAUGUUUCUGCCUUUUAACUUGAAUUGGACAGCAAGUAUCUUCACUGAACUCAAUUGAUAAGUAGUAACGUAUUCUAGUCCAAACUGUGUGGAGAAAUACAAGCUUACGAGAAGCACAUAAAUGCAGCAUUAAAAGUGGAGGGACGUUGAGUCUGGCGACAUCUUGUGGCGAAAUGACGGUGAGAAGCAGCAGCUAUCCAGUGCCACACAGUGGUUGAAGACCCUGAAGACCCAGGAGCACUCCCAGAUAACACAGCAGGGCAGGUUGUGCGGGUGUCCAUCUGUCUCUAAUAUAGCGUCUUUGAGGUGUGGAUUAGUGGGAGUGUUGAGUCAGGCCCAGGCAAGGGCCCGGGAGGUCAGACCGGAGGGAGGCCCACGUAAGCAGGCUCCAGUGCUGCUGAAUUGGCCGAUAAUGGCCUGGAUCAGAAGGAAUGUGUUCAUGGAGCCUUGCUACUGACAGCCGGCCCCUGGGGACAUGAAUUACUCUGACUGAUACAAAAAGAAAAUGACAAAAACACUGCCUCAGGCACUGUCUCCCUGGACUCCUUGUCUCCAACACAGCUAAAUGAAUCAAAUUGCCUCCAAUUAAAGAUUUUAUGCUUCUUUCCCCUCAGCUGUUCCAUUUUCUCUCCCUCCUUCAAUGAUUCAAAAACACUUAUCACUCUGUCAUUGUAGUAAAAGAAUAGGUAACAGACAAUAGGUAAGCUUUGUAGUGUUAUUGGAGUGUGUGCACAUGUGGUAUGCAAAGGUUUCUCUUCUACCUAUUUUUGUGAAAAGAAAUGGUUACAUAACUUAUAGAAGCUAUAGAAAUAACUUGUUUGAGGUGUGCUAAAGAAAUGCAGCCUAGUUCUGCAAUAAAUAGACAAUGGCAUGAAUAUAAGCUUUUGAUGAAGUUGUUUGGUUUUGGGGCUUAAAGAUGUUACAUUUCUACAUACAUAAUGUAUCUAGAAAGCUUGAUUUAUAGCUAGAAUGUUUCCCAAACCACACCCCUCUUAAGUGCCCUUUACUCCUAAAACUGCCACUCUUUCAUAGUUUGUACUUUGGAAAUUUUAACCACAUUGCAAUCUCUGCAACGCCUUGAUCCUCAACAGCCGUGUCAGUCAGGGUUCACUCUUCCCUCAAUGCCCUGAAUUUUUUUGUAGUAAAAUUCUUUUUUUAUAGGUCUUAAAUUCUAUGUAUUGCAUUUGUUUUCCCUGAUUUAGUUGUUGUUUAUUUAGUCUACUUUCCUUUCUGUUUAAAACACUUGUGAUGAAAAUCUC